AAAUCGUUGUCCCAAUCAUUCAAUCGCAGCCAUCCGAUCAUCAUUAAUCCGUACAACAAUUGAGCUCCCAAAAGUCCGGUCGAACCCGAUUAAGGUCCGAGCGAACCCAAUUUUAGUUUGGAAGAACACCGUUGAGUUGGCAGUGUGAAUUGCUGUUGCGAUGGUGCUUGAUAUUUUUGCUGGUUAUGCGAAGGUGGAUGAAGGGGCUGCGUUGGUGCAGCAGUGGUGGCUGGCGACUAGGAGUGGUGUUGUUAGUGUGGUGAUGGUUAAGAAGGUAGUGGUGUAGGAUAGGAAAAGGCAGGAGGAAGCUGACAACUUCUGUUCUUUAAGCAAUUGACUUUUCUUGACUGGCCUUUGAAGCUUGUAUUCCAUCCCCGAACAACAUGUCCCUACACAAAAUAAAAAUAGAGAAUAGGAGAGAAACAAGAAAUAGAAAAGUAAAACAAAUAAUAAUAAUAAUAAUAAUAAUAA